GGGCGAGCAGAGCAGGCCGCAAGACACGCCACACAGCAUCACUCCACCCCAGCACGUCCCAGGCAGACGAGAGGGUGACAUCAAAGCACAUCAAAAUACACGAAGCGACUAGGUAAGGCCGUCACCCCGUCAUCCCGUCAUCCUGCCGCCGCCCUACCUGCCGCAGUUGAAGCCGAGCCAGCCCCACCACAACAUGAACAUGCCCAGGAUGGCGUUGGUGGGCGAUCCCAUGGGCAGCGAGGCCUCCCCGUCGUCAUACCGCCCGAUCCUGGGACCCACCAUCUUCGAGGCCACUAAAGCUGUGACGCGAGGGAGGAACAACAGGUGCACGCCGCAGGAGCCAGCGAUGUCCACCACGCCCAGCUGGAACAGGAAGCCAUGCUCGGCCCAGAUCCAGCCGGCGGGGAUGCAGUAGACGAUUGUGUUCACCGCCGAAAAGAUUACGUACGCCACGAAGUUGAAC